rnacentral:rRNA from 1 species
UACGUAGGGUGCAAGCGUUAAUCGGAAUUACUGGGCGUAAAGCGUGCGCAGGCGGCUAUGCAAGACAGAUGUGAAAUCCUCGGGCUCAACCUGGGAACUGCAUUUGUGACUGCAUGGCUAGAGUACGGUAGAGGGGGAUGGAAUUCCGCGUGUAGCAGUGAAAUGCGUAGAUAUGCGGAGGAACACCGAUGGCGAAGGCAAUCCCCUGGACCUGUACUGACGCUCAUGCACGAAAGCGUGGGGAGCAAACAGG